rnacentral:rRNA from 1 species
GACGAACGCUGGCGGCGUGCUUAACACAUGCAAGUCGAACGGAAAGGCCCUGCUUUUGUGGGGUGCUCGAGUGGCGAUCGGGUGAGUAACACGUGAGUAACCUGCCCUUGACUUUGGGAUAACUUCAGGAAACUGGGGCUAAUACCGGAUAGGAGCUCCUGCUGCAUGGUGGGGGUUGGAAAGUCUCGGCGGUUGGGGAUGGACUCGCGGCUUAUCAGCUUGUUGGUGGGGUAGUGGCUUACCAAGGCUUUGACGGGUAGCCGGCCUGGGAGGGUGACCGGCCACAUUGGGACUGAGAUACGGCCCAGACUCCUACGGGAGGCAGCAGUGGGGAAUAUUGCACAAUGGGCGGAAGCCUGAUGCAGCAACGCCGCGUGCGGGAUGACGGCCUUCGGGUUGUAAACCGCUUUCGCCUGUGACGAAGCGUGAGUGACGGUAAUGGGUAAAGAAGCACCGGCUAACUACGUG